GACGAACGCUGGCGGCGUGCCUAAUACAUGCAAGUCGAGCGGACUUUCAAGAAGCUUGCUUUUUGAAAGUUAGCGGCGGACGGGUGAGUAACACGUGGGCAACCUGCCUGUAAGACGGGGAUAACUCCGGGAAUCCGGGGCUAAUACCGGAUAAUAUCUUUCUUCGCAUGAAGGAAGGUUGAAAGGCGGCGCAAGCUGCCGCUUGCAGAUGGGCCCGCGGCGCAUUAGCUAGUUGGUGAGGUAACGGCUCACCAAGGCGACGAUGCGUAGCCGACCGGAGAGGGUGAUCGGCCACACUGGGACUGAGACACGGCCCAGACUCCUACGGGAGGCAGCAGUAGGGAAUCUUCCGCAAUGGACGAAAGUCUGACGGAGCAACGCCGCGUGAGCGAAGAAGGUCUUCGGAUCGUAAAGCUCUGUUGUCAGGGAAGAACAAGUUCCGUUCGAAUAGGGCGGUACCUUGACGGUACCUGACCAGAAAGCCACGGCUAACUACGUGCCAGCAGCCGCCGUAA
rnacentral:rRNA from 1 species